UACAGAGGGUGCAAGCGUUGUUCGGAAUUAUUGGGCGUAAAGGGAGUGUAGGCGGCUAUUUAAGUCUCAUGUGAAAGCUGCGGGCUUAGCCUGACAAAGUGCAUGGGAAACUGAAAAGCUUGAGUGUCGGAGAGGAUAGCGGAAUUCCCGGUGUAGAGGUGAAAUUCGUAGAGAUCGGGAGGAACACCAGUGGCGAAGGCGGCUAUCUGGCUGACAACUGACGCUGAGACUCGAAAGCAUGGGGAGCAAACAGG
rnacentral:rRNA from 1 species